CAGAAGCCGCGGGAAUACAGAGGGUGCGAGCGUUAAUCGGAUUUACUGGGCGUAAAGCGUGCGUAGGCGGCUAAUUGAGUCGGAUGUGAAAUCCCCGAGCUUAACUUGGGAAUUGCAUUCGAUACUGGUUAGCUAGAGUGUGGGAGAGGAUGGUAGAAUUCCAGGUGUAGCGAUGAAAUGCGUAGAGAUCUGGAGGAAUACCGAUGGCGAAGGCAGCCAUCUGGCCUAACACUGACGCUGAGGUACGAAAGCAUGGGGAGCAAACAGGAUUAGAUACCCCUGUAGUCCCUGUCUCUUAUAC
rnacentral:rRNA from 1 species